rnacentral:rRNA from 1 species
GAUGAACGCUGGCGGCGUGCCUAAUACAUGCAAGUCGAGCGAACGGACGAGAAGCUUGCUUUUCUGAUGUUAGCGGCGGACGGGUGAGUAACACGUGGAUAACCUACCUAUAAGACUGGGAUAACUUCGGGAAACCGGAGCCAAUACCGGAUAAUAUUUUGAACCGCAUGGUUCAAAAGUGAAAGACGGUCUUGCUGUUACUUAUAGCUGGAUCCGCGCUGCAUUAGCUAGUUGGUAAGGUAACGGCUUACCAAGGCAACGAUGCAUAGCCGACCUGGUAGGGUGGUCGGCCACACUAGAACGGAGACACGGUCCAGACUCCUACGGGAGGCAGCAGUAGGGAAUCUUCCGCAAUGGGGGAAAGCCUGAAGGAGCAAAGCCGCGUGAGUGAUGAAGGUCUUCGGAUCGUAAAACUCUGUUAUUAGGGAAGAACAUAUGUGUAAGUAACUGUGCACAUCUUGACGGUACCUAAUCAGAAAGCCACGGCUAACUACGUG